rnacentral:lncRNA from 1 species
AUGCCAUAUCCUAUUAGGGUAGGAAUGCCUGACCUUCGCACACUUGAUGCUGUUUGCUACAUAUGUGGGCCUAGGCAACAGACUAUUACAAGAAAUAAUACAACGAGCUCUAUCAAUCUCAGUCCGUUUUUAAGGCAUACUGUUCUGAAGAGAACAUUUAAUGUAACUCUGCCAAAUUCUUUCUUCAUUGAUAGAGAAAAGACUUCCACUCUAGAACAAAAAGCCAAACAAAAACACCAAGGAGGCAAAAUAGAAUCUUCUAAAUGAUAUAUCCAAAGGUAAUAUCUAUUAAUAUAAAGGUAAGCUGAUACUUCUCUCACAAAGGAGUACUUUCAUGUUGAUGAUGUCCUCCAUCAGCUGCUCACAGGAACAUCAUUGCUCUUCUAACAUCUAGAGAUAGAAAAAUCUGUUCUUACAUGAUAUUUGUUUUUUUUCAGAAAAAUUUUCCUAUUACAAAAGCAGUAUAUAUAUUCAUUGCAUUCUUUCUAAGCAUAUACUACUGAUGCAUCCAUAUAAAAUAUAAUGCUGAAUAAAGACAUCUGAUGAAAAGCCUUUCUUUUUUACUUUAGAGUCUCAUUCUCUAACCAGAGAAUGCAAUUACUUUCCAAAUACCAGGCAUGCUGAAACAAAGUGAACGAUGUUGUUAUGCAUAUGUGGUAUUCCCUUGACUUAUUUUCUUACUCUUCAUUUCUCUGAAAUGCUAAAAGUAGAAUAUAAAAAUCAUAAAAGGAAUAUUCAGUAUGUUUUACUUUGUAUAACUUUUAUGUGCAAAUAGGAAAGCAAAGAAAAAAAUGAUUAAACUGUGGCAAUAUACUGAAUUAUCUUCAAUAGCCUACAUAUUUGGGGAAGAUGGGUAAAUUUAAAUAUCACAUCCCAAAACUUUUGGCAUUAAUGCUAUUACAUUAAUAGCAAUGUUAGUAAAUGUUAGUAAAUGCCAUUUACUAACAUGUCAUUUACUAACAUGGUCUAGUAAAACAAAUUAGUUGGAGAUAAGGAUUUAUCAAUAGUAUUUAAUGUUUCUAGAGGAGCAUAUCCUCUUUGAAAUUUUAACAAAUGCUAUGGAAACCUCAUUGAUGAAAGUGGAUUUAUGCAAGCAAUCUAAAAUUAACAUAAUUCUAAAAGAUUCAAGUGCUCCUGAAAUUUUCAAUGUAUUCUGAUUUAAGAAAACUGUAUCUAAAAUAUCUCCAUUAAUGUGCCUAAAAUCAAUCAUUCAAGAUUGGAACAAUAAACACCCCCCAAAUGGCCAAUAAAUACUUGCUUUUCCAUUGAAUUGGAUGAAUUGAAUUGAAUUGAAUUGGGAAAACAGCACAGAACUGGUGGUUGAUGGAGAGGAGACUUUGAGCUCAUCUCCUAGUUACAUAACCCUAAACUAACUAGUUAAUCACCUAGUUCUUUGUUCUAUAGCUCCAAAAUGAAGCAGUUGGUAUAUUAGACCAGUAGAUGUCAAACAUAGAGGAUGUUUCACAAUUACCAAGUGAGGUGGUAGAAUAACACAGUUUUCCAACAUCUAACAACUCUCCACCUAGUAUUGCCUGUACUCUGAAAUGGGUCCUGAAGCCUGUAUUUUUCUAUAGAUUUUUAUGUGAUGUAGUUAACCUCUAGGUACAUGAUCCCCAAGGUUUCUAUCAUCCCUAUAGUAUUUAUUUUGGAAAUUACCUUUUUAUGUGUCAUAUAAACCAUGCAAAAUGUAGUUCUUGUUGCAGAAAACUCAGACAACCAAGAGUAUUUGAUGUGCAUUACGUGUGUUGCAACACCCUUGCAUGUAUUCUUUAAAAACAAACAAACGAACAAACAAAAAAACCUUAUGGGAUGAUUUUUACUUUCUUAUUUUUAAUUCUUUUCCUCUAUAAUAUAUUACAUAAUAUGCAAAACCUGUUCAUGAAUAAAGAAUAGAAAAAUGAAAAUUCAGAACGUGGGAGAGAAUUGCCAGUCAACUUUUAAGACAAUGUUUUAAUUAUUCAGUAGAAUAAUUCUUAUGUCUAUAAUCUUCUUACAUAUUAACAUUUUCUAAACCAGAACUAGUAAAAAUACAUAAAUUUUCAUACUACUGUUAUAACAAAAUAAUAUAAACUUCUUGUCACUUAAAAACAAAGUUGAGAAUUCAAUAUGUGAACAUUGCAUGGGAAGCAUAAUUAUUUUGAAAUUUUUGAGAGUAAAUAAUCUUGUUUUUAAAAUGAUAGCCUUUCUGUAAUAUUAAAUUAAUAAUUUUAAGAGAACUACAGAAGAGAUAAGCAGAAAAAAUACAAUAGUAAAAUAGAAAAGGCAUUAUAUUUAUGUAUAUAUAUACACACACACAUAUUUAUCUCUUUGGAAAGAUGAGUAAAAAUAUAAAUAAAAUCAAACAACAUGAAAGACUAUGAAAACAUUAUAUAUUAUUAAAAAUAUGAAUAAGAUAGAGGGUCUUAGACUAUUAAUCUUUCUCUGGAACAAACUUACCACAAGAAGCAAGAAAUUGUUGAAAGAAAUCUGCCUGGAGUCAGUAAAGCUUUCAAAAGACAUUUCCUCUGUGAAAAAAGAGCAAACAAUUCUGAAGUUGGAACAUGUUGAGGCAAAGAAAACUCAGCUAAUUGAACUAAAAGUGACAUUAUUGAUAAGAGGGAAAUUUAACAAUUUAUAAAAUACAAUCGAUGAUGUAGCAGUUCAGCUUUAAUAACACAGAAUUCACAGGGAAACAAGUAAUAAAAAUAAUGAUUAAGUUGGGAUGGUUAGGAGAUCCCAGAUAUGCCCCAUUUUGCAUUCCUAAUCAUGUCCGUGUAGACUAGUCACUGGCAAUUAACUUUUGUAAAACUGGAAGAUUUCCCCUUUUUCAAAGGCUUGGAACCAGAGAUCCCAAGGGAGUUAAUGAUUUACCCAUUCUCUGAGAAUGUAUUCUGCAGAACACAGUGAUUGCUUCAAAUUAGAAAGGUUGAAAGGGAUGGCUAAUUUCCAUAACUUUGACAAAAAUGUUUGUAAAAAUACUGAACAGCUGCCUUCUUCAGCUCAAAAUUCAACACAACUAAAAUAGUAUUAUACUGAUCCAUUAAUAUAUUUUAUUCCCAGGAUGUUAGUCUGUUUUGCAUAGUUAUAAAAGACUAUCUGGACUGGAUGAUUUAUAAAGAAAAGAGGUUUAUUUGACUCAUGGUUCUGCAGGCUGUUUAAGAAGCGUUGUGCUACCACCACCUUCUGGUGAGUCCUCAGGAAGCUUACAAUCACGGCAGAAGGCAAAGGGGGAGCCAACAAGAGAGGGGGCAAGAGAGAGAGGGAGGAGGUGCCAUACUCUUUAAAUAACCAGAUCUCCUGUGAACUCUUUACUAAGGGGAAGGCAUCAAGCUAUCCACAAGGCAUCCACCCUCAUAACCCAACACCUUUAAAGUUCAUAUGGAACCAAAAAUGAGCCCCCAUUGCCAAGACAAUCCUAAGCCAAAAAUCAAAGCUGGAGACAUCACACUACAUGGCUUCAAACAAUACUAAAAGGCUGCAGUAACCAAAAUGGCACGGUACUGGUACCAAAACAGAGAGAUAGACCAAUGGAACAGAGCAGAGCCCUCAGAAAUAAUACCACACAUCUACAACCAUCUGAUCUUUGGCAAACCUGACAAAAAUAAGCAAUAGGGAAAGGAUUCCCUAUUUAAUAAAUGGUGCUGAGAAAACUGGCUAGCCAUAUGUAGAAUGCUGAAACUGGAUCCCUUCCUUAUACAAAAAUUAAUUCAAGAUGGAUUAAAGACUUAAAUGUUAGACCUAAAACCAUAAAAACCCUAGAAGAAAACCUGGGCAAUACCAUUCAGGACAUAAGCAUGGGCAAGGACUUCAUGUCUAAAACACCAAAAGCAAUGGCAACAAAAGCCAAAAUUGACAAAUGGGAUCUAAUUAAACUAAAGAGCUUCUGCACAGCAAAAGAAACUACCAUCAGAGUGAACUAGCAACCUACAGAAUGGGAGAAAAUUUUUGCAAUCUACUCAUCUGACUUGGAACCAACCCAAAUGUCCAUCAAUUUGGACUGAAUUAAGAAAAUGUCACACAUAUACACCAUGGAAUACUAUGCAGCCAUAAAAAAGGAUGAGUUCCUGUCCUUUGUAGGGAACCAUCAUUCUGAGCAAACUGUUGCAAGGACAGAAAACCAAACACCGCAUGUUCUCACUCAUAGGUGGGAAUUGAACAAUGAGAACACUUGGACACACGGUGGGGAACAUCACACAUUGGGGCCUGUCAUGGGAUGGGGGAGGUGGGAGGGAUAGCAUUAGGAGAUACAUCUAAUGUAAAUGACGAGUUAAUGGGUGCAGCACACCAACAUGGCACAUGUAUACAUAUGUAACAAACCUGCACGUUGUCCACAUGUACCCUAGAACUUAAAGUAUAAUAAAUAAGUGAAUAAAUAAAUAUAAGCAGAGACACUUAGUAAGCCUAAAAAAAAAGUUCAAUGCUGAAAUUUAUCUUCUCAGAGUUUAAAUAUGUCUUUAAUCUGAUAGCAAAGUGAUUUAUAAAAAAGACAUUAUUCCAAAAAUAAAAGUUAUCUUAUUUUAAAAUUAAUCUUGUAGAUUGCUUUAGAAGUCAAUAGGAUCUGUGUAAUCUAUAGGAUUAUGUGGAACAUGACACAAGCCUAUCUUCUUAGAGAGUAGUUCUUACUUGCCUAAAUUAUUAUUGUUUUUUAAGCAACUGUGAGGCAACAAAUUGAGCAUAGCAUUAAUCAUGCUGUGUUUUAUGUAAAAAUAAUGAUGUAUUGCAUGUUUUUUGGUAAGGGGUCACAGAGCAAAUUUUUAGCAGAAAAUUACUCAUCCAGAUUCUAUGCCUAAAACUUCACUCUCAACUAAAGCCAUGAAGUUGAUAACUGGGAAUAAUUUUUCUUGCGUGUCAAAUAAAUGUAACUGCUGAUCUUAGAGCAACAAUGAAUUUAACAAUUUAAAACUUUGUGCAAAUAGAUUAUUAUUUUAUUUUAUUUAAACCACAAUAAAAAAGUUUUUAUUUAGCAGGAAGUUACCCAGAUUCUAUGACUAAAACUUCACUGUCAACUAAAAACAUGAAGUUGAUACCUCGGGAUAAUUUUUCUUGAGUGUCAAAUAAAUGUAACUGUUGAUCUUAGAGCAACACAGUAGUUUACUAAUUUAAAACUUGGUGCAAAUAGAUUAUUAUUUUAUUUUAUUUAAACCACAAUAAACCAG